rnacentral:rRNA from 1 species
ACGGGUGAGUAACACGUGGGCAACCUACCUUAUCGACUGGGAUAACUCCGGGAAACCGGGGCUAAUACCGGAUAACAUCUAGCACCUCCUGGUGCCGGAUUAAAAGAGGGCUUCUUGCUCUCACGAUGAGAUGGGCCCGCGGCGCAUUAGCUAGUUGGAGAGGUAACGGCUCCCCAAGGCGACGAUGCGUAGCCGACCUGAGAGGGUGAUCGGCCACACUGGGACUGAGACACGGCCCAGACUCCUACGGGAGGCAGCAGUAGGGAAUCUUCCGCAAUGGACGAAAGUCUGACGGAGCAACGCCGCGUGAGUGAUGAAGGGUUUCGGCUCGUAAAGCUCUGUUAUGAGGGAAGAACACGUACCGUUCGAAUAGGGCGGUACCUUGACGGUACCUCAUCAGAAAGCCACGGCUAACUACGUGCCAGCAGCCGCGGUAAUACGUAGGUGGCAAGCGUUGUCCGGAAUUAUUGGGCGUAAAGCGCGCGCAGGCGGCCUUUUAAGUCUGAUGUGAAAUCUUGCGGCUCAACCGCAAGCGGCCAUUGGAAACUGGGAGGCUUGAGUACAGAAGAGGAGAGUGGAA